GGGAGGAGGAGGCGGCUCAGUGGAUCGUGAAAUAGAUAAUUGGCAAUGUCAGAAUCACAAAUGUUGAUACAAAGCUCUAGAAAAAGAAACAUUGCAACAAAUAAACGGCAUCCUGCCACAAGCAGUCAUGCAUACAAUCAAGAGCUGCCUGAUCCAAGGGAGCAAGCAGGAAUGUCCAGCAUAUCUAGAAAUUGGACGUAUCUAGCCUAAUUAGCAUUAUCCGAGAACCAACAUAAAAAGAUAAACACAACACACUACAGUGCGCUUUAUUUCCAAAUUUAGGUACAACACAUGCGAAAAGCAAUAACUUACAGUCGUCCAUUUCCAAUGGAAUUGUCCAACAUUUGAAUAGAAGGUGUACUUGCUGUCAAGCAAGGCGUGUUAUCUCCCAUUCGGGUUCUUUCAGAUUUAGGCUGAAUAAACCUACCUUGAAUAAACGUCCGUUUUCUUCCUAGCACUAGCUCUACUUCAGCAUCAGAUUGCACCUAUAGCAUGCAGAACACCAAAAGAAAUCCUAGACUACUUUUGCUGGACGAUGCUGGGUCCAAAAUUCCAACCCCAGAAUUCCGAGGAGUGUCUGGAAUUUCCUUGAAAUUUUCCCCAAUCAAACCCAACAAAGGCUUAGUCAGACACAGUCCAUAUGAACUAGCAUCUGUUUUCCUGUCACUGUCAAUCGUCAGAAAUCGUCACAACUCACGCAGAAUCUAGCUGCAUCCCAACAAUUCCUGCAGAAGGAAAAUCCAAACACUUCUGGGACUUCCUAGGAAACACGAGUAAUACAGUGACCAAAAUAAGCAGACCAACGCUCCCCCCUCAAGCAACGCCAGCCAAGAAUCUCACAAAAGGGCCCCAAUUUUCCGAGAGGCAGGCCACGAAACCAACCAAACGGGGGAAAAAAUCACGAGGCGCAAGAAGCGUACCAAACGGGCUGCAGAGUAAGAGUACGGCAUGACGGAAUCAAGAACCAAGAAGCCACUCCAGGAAACUGAAACAGAUGAGAACGAUUUUGCCAGGGCGGUGCAUGCAAGAACACGAUUGGGGAUUUCUAGGAGGGGGGCGGGAGAGCAGUCAGGCAGUCACUCACCUCCCCCGAAUUCUCCCUUCGAGAUCCUCUCCUCUGGCCCUGUCCGGUGGAAUCUUCCUUGGACCGAGAAAGAUUAUGGGCGGAGAAGGCGAGAAGCGAAAGCGGAAGCACGAAGGAUCAAGAAGACGAGGAGGGGACUGUCACUCUCCUCUAGCUGCCAAAUAUGCGACCUACCGUUUCUUUUCUUUUUUUUUUCUUUCUGGGAAUAAAUGGCCUUCUGUCCACUAGUGUCACGUCACCAACCUCAAAUAUUGAUGGGUGCACCAAGAAUUUGAUGAUCGCUAGUUUUUCUUUCAAAACGUUACAAUGAAAGUCAUGAGCAUACAUUCAUUUCUAUGAACGCACGCAUAUCCUAUUAUGAACACAUUUAGGAGACUGAGUCGUCAGAAGGCCUGGAAUAAUAAUCUAGAAAAAUAC
rnacentral:lncRNA from 1 species